UUAUGUAUUUGAUCUCAACUUGGCAUCCUAACUUUACAUAUUUUUAAACUUAUAAUAGUAUUAUGUGAUGGUCUUUAUUUUUUAGAUCUAAGUUUUAAUUAUCAAGUAUUUAUUUAUUUAAUAAAAAUGAAUCCUGAUUCCAGUCCAUUUUAUCAUUAACCCUAAACCUUCAACCAUUAACUUUUAACCCUUCUACUCCUGAUUUGAUACCUUGGUCUUGAUGUCAAAAGCAUUGAAUUAUUAUUUUUUUAUCUUUUUUAUUCAUUAAAGGAAUUCAAAUUAUUUUAACUCUCUCUAGUUCCCUAUUAUAAAAACUGGACUGCCACCCUUAGUUAAUGGGCCUGGCCUGACAGGGACCCAACCCAAUUCAGGCCCACAAUCCACCCAGUUCCAUCGUCUUCGUGUUAGGGUUACAUAUACGCGAAAAUACGUUAGGGUUUGCAAAUCAACGGGUCUUCGCGGCCUGGAACUGUAAGCUCUUUCGUCGUUGAUCCUCGACCGAUCUACAGACGGCAUUGUCGCGAAAAUUACUUCGAAAAUCUGAUGCUUGAUGCUGCCCAAUAUUAUGUUUGCAAAUUCAGGAGGCGUUCCUUCACAAAAGUUCCAAUAGAACGCUGAUUAUGGUUUCUGUACUUCGUUGAUUGAACGGAUAUAUUUCUAGGUUCGAGUAUGAACUUGAAUGGGCCAAGCAUCCAUUGGAAACUUUUGUGGACUUGCAAGAAAUUAAAUUGCAAACUGAUGAGUAAAUUUUCAUAUUCAUUUCUACCAUUUAAAAAAAAAAAACAUAAACUUGCAUUUUAUAGUUCACGCUUUCAUUAUUUUGUUUCCUUGCUUAAAUGGAUACAAAGGACAAUGUUUCAAGAUGAUAUGAGUAGUAGUUAUUAGAUUUACAGUCUCCUGUGACAGCCAAAGCUGAUUAUAUAUGCGCCCAAUUCUUCAAAGAAAGAGAGGUAAUCUAGUUUUAUUUUUUGUUAGGUGAAAGAGGAGAAACUAUUUGGUGCCUUUGAGUGCUGCGGCACCAAAAUGCUGGUGCACUAAAAAUUUAUUUUAACAUGGUGCUUCACAAGCACAAAAUAAGUUUUCCCUAAAAAGAGAUUAUCCAGUUGAUUUGAUCUUUUCUUCCAGAAAUGGAAAAUUUUUAGAAUUACUUGUUUGUUAGGAGUUGAUGUUCACCUAAACAAGAAUCACUUGUCGCCUAGAGUGUGUAUGGUACAGGAGUAAGAUUGUUUGAUUUUUUUGACUGGGUGCAAAGGAUACACAAAGAAGAGGCAUUGCUACCAAACAAAGCUGAUGACACGAUAAUAAUGAAUCUCCAAGUGAAGAUGAAUUGCCUACAGGUGGAGAUGAUUCAGAUAUUGGAGAAUGGAGAUGCCUCAAGCAGCAGUGGAUGAGACUUUGUUAUCUGAUGCAUGAAAGUUCAACCCUCAUCUGGCUAAUAUGGAUUAAAUUAAUAAGGUUUCUUUCUAUAUGUAGGAAAAAAUUAGAGAUUGUUGGUAAUAUUGGAGAUGCAGUUUCAGAAUGUUUAACUUGACCAUGCUUUGUUUAUAUUGUGUUGUUUCUUUAACAAACUUCUCAAGUUAUGCAAUGAUAAAUUUUGCUCUUGUAUUUUACAGAUUUGUAUGAGUUGGGACUUGCAAACACUUAUCAUGUGCAUCUGACAGAUCCUAAUGUUUAAUAA